rnacentral:rRNA from 1 species
GUGCCAGCGCCGCGGUAAUACCGGCAGCACGAGUGAUGGCCGAUUUUAUUGGGCCUAAAGCGUUCGUAGCCGGCCGGACAAGUCCGUUGGGAAAUCCACGCGCUCAACGCGUGGGCGUCCAGCGGAAACUAUCCGGCUUGGGGCCGGAAGACUCAAGGGGUACGUUCGGGGUAGGAGUGAAAUCCCAUAAUCCCGCACGGACCACCGAUGGCGAAAGCACUUCGAGAAAACGGAUCCGACAGUGAGGGACGAAAGCCAGGGUCUCCAACCGGAUUAGAAACCCUAGUCC